rnacentral:lncRNA from 1 species
CUUUUUAUCUUACCUGGCCCAAAGGGCCAAGUGAGCUUUUCCCAUCACUUGGCGUCCGUCGUCUGUCGUCCGGCGUCGUUAACUUUUACAAAAAUCUUCUCCUCUGAAACUACUGGGCCAAAUUACACCAAACUUGGCCAAAAUCAUCAUUGGGGUAUCUAGUUUAAAAAAUGUGUCCGGUGACCCGGCCAACCAUCCAAGAUGGCCGCCAUGGCUAAAAAUAGAACAUGGGGGUAAAAUGCAGUUUUUGGCUUAUAACUCAAAAACCAAAGCAUUUAGAGCAAAUCUGACAGGGG